rnacentral:snoRNA from 1 species
GGCCUUUGUGUUGCCCAUUCGCUUUCGGAAACUAGUGAAUGUGGUGUCAAAAAAGGCACAAAUUAAACUCUUUGCAGCCAUUUUCUGCCCUUGAAUUUCAUUUCUUUGGUGUAGGAGCUGCCGAAGUUACAGUG